CACAGAAGAACAUAUUAAACAAACUAUACAAAGAUAUCAUUUUUUCGCAUAUUUUUUUCUUCUUAGAGUUUUAUUAACAUUGGGUUAAACUUUGACCUUCAUUUAAGAGGUCAUUUUACAGAGGAGAAAGACUUUGUAAAUCAAAAAAAUCAUCAAGCCCCAGUGUGAUUUAAAUAUCAUACAAUAACUACAUGACUUAAAAAUAAUGCUACUAAAAAUCAAACAUUUAAAUGAAUAGACUAUAAUGAUAUAUUGAUUCAACAGUCGUUAAUAUUUUAUUGUUAUAUAUAUUACAGUGUAGAAUGCUAAUGAAGUAUGACAAUGGAGAGAUGUAAGUGAUAAAAUACAAGAACAGAUCAUCAAUACAAUCAUUCAUAUACAAUAUGAGAAUUUAAUGAAAAUUUUAAUUGGUUAUUGGUUGGAAAAUGUAGCCACUCAUUUAUAAGUAUGGAAAUUUUGAAUAAGAAUUUAAAGUGAAACGAAUAAUUUCACAAAUGAUGAUCUGUAAGGAUAUACAAUGACAACAUUUAACAUGAAGCAGUGGAACCCAAACAAGGACUAGAAGCAUGUUUGAACUGCUGAAGUUGGAAAUGGAACCAUGUUCAUCACAAAGCUGUGUUUACAAUGAAAAUGGAACAGUGAUUACAAUAAUGAUGGAACUGUGUUCACCAUGAAGACAGAACUGUGUCUACAAUGAACAGUGUUUAUGAUGAAGAUGGAACUGUGUUUACAAUGAACAGUGUUUAUGAUGAAGAUGGAAUUGAGUUCACCAUGAAGAUAGCUGUGUUUACAAUGAACUUUGUUUAUGAUGAAGAUAGAACUGCGUUCACCAUGAAGAUAGAACUGUGCUUACAAUGAGCAGUGUUUAUGAUGAAAUGGAACUGAGUUAAUUACCAUAAAGAUGGAACUGUGUUCACCAUGAAGAUGGAACUGUGUUUACCAUGAAAAUGGAACUGUGUUUAUGAUGAAGAUGGAACUGAGUUCACCAUGAAGAUGGAUCUAAGUCCACCAUGAAGAUGGAUCUGAGUCCACCAUGAAGAUGGAACUGUGUUUACAAUGAACAGUAUUUAUGAUGAAGAUGGAACUGAGUUCACCAUGAAGAUGGAACUGUGUUCACAAUGCCUUACAUUUCACUAAAAUUAGACUCAGCACAAAGAACAAGACAUUCCAUUGACAAACAAGACAUUCCAUUGACAAACAAGACAUUUCAUUGACAAACAUGACAUAACUCAACAGACAACAAACAGGAACAACUUCAACAUUUUCAACUAAAAGUAACAGGAGGAACUCAGGUCAAACAUUUUUCCAGGCACUU